rnacentral:rRNA from 1 species
UUCGUAGGGUCCGAGCGUUGUCCGGAAUUAUUGGGCGUAAAGAGCUCGUAGGCGGUCUGUCGCGUCGGCUGUGAAAACACGGGGCUCAACUCCGUGCCUGCAGUCGAUACGGGCAGACUAGAGUUCGGUAGGGGAGACUGGAAUUCCUGGUGUAGCGGUGAAAUGCGCAGAUAUCAGGAGGAACACCGGUGGCGAAGGCGGGUCUCUGGGCCGAUACUGACGCUGAGGAGCGAAAGCGUGGGGAGCAAACAGG